rnacentral:rRNA from 1 species
UAACACUGGGUAACCUGCCCAUCAGAGGGGGAUAACAUUCGGAAACGGAUGCUAAAACCGCAUAGGCCCUUUAACCGCAUGGUUGAAGGAGGAAAAGAGGCGCAAGCUUCUGCUGAUGGAUGGACCCGCGGUGCAUUAGCUAGUUGGUGAGGUAACGGCUCACCAAGGCCGUGAUGCAUAGCCGACCUGAGAGGGUGAUCGGCCACAUUGGGACUGAGACACGGCCCAA